rnacentral:rRNA from 1 species
ACGCGAAGAACCUUACCUGGUCUUGACAUCCACAGAACUUUCCAGAGAUGGAUUGGUGCCUUCGGGACCUGUGAGACAGGUGGUGCAUGGCUGUCGUCAGCUCGUGUUGUGAAAUGUUGGGUUAAGUCCCGCAACGAGCGCAACCCUUAUCCUUUGUUGCCAUCGGUCCGGCCGGGAAUUCAAAGGAGACUGCCAGGGAUAAACUGGAGGAAGGUGGGGAKGACGUCAAUUCUUCAUGGCCCUUUCGACCAGGGUUCCCCCCGUGUUCCAAUGGUGCUUACAAAGAGAAGCGACCUCGCGAGAGCAAGCGGAUCUCAUAAACUCGGUCGCAGUCCGGAUUGUAGUCUGCAACUCGACUACAUGAAGUCUGGAAUCGCUAGUAAUCG